rnacentral:tRNA from 1 species
GUUGGGGAGGCCGAGUGGUUAAGGCGUUGGACUAGAAAUCCAAUGGGAUCUUCCCGCACAGGUCCGAAUCCUGCUCGCAACG